AAAAGUGAUGGCCAGGGCAAUCCCUAAACAGGCAAUAUUUUAGGUUUUUUCAGAAAUUGUGAGGUCACAAAGGAAUAUGCCUGCCACGUGUCCUCUUAUCAACACAGACACAAGACAAGAUGGAAAGGACUCCAAGCAUGCAGGGUUGGGAUUUUGCAGGGCAGGCGCAAGGGAGAUAAUAACGGCAAGGAAAGUCUGGGUUGAUGUGAUGGGCUAGUAAACUCAGCCCUAGAGAGGGGAGAAUGCAAAACUGGGUAGCAAAGGACAACUGAGUGGUGAAGAGCAGAGGGUCUUAAGGAGGUAAAAGAGCAAACUUGGAAGAACAACGAAGAGAGGAGCUGGGGGGAAGGAAUUACACUUCAGUAGGACAGAAGAAGGUGUGGGGGUCAGAUGUCACCGAUGGAUCCUGGGGGAGUUCAAGGUCUGGUCCUGGAAGCAGAGGCUCGGCUUCAUCAGGGAGACAACAUAAGAGAGCACAAAAAGCCAGACCAGCCUCCUGAGUUAUUGUUCAGAGAUGGGAACAAUGUCCUAUUACUCAUGAAAAUGUGAGGACAGACAAAGGUUUUCACAGUCGGCUGUCAUCAUUGCUCAUAAGUUUCAAAGAGAACCUUCAGAGGCUGGA